rnacentral:rRNA from 1 species
GAGUAACACGUGGGUAACCUGCCUGUAAGACUGGGAUAACUCCGGGAAACCGGGGCUAAUACCGGAUGGUUGUUUGAACCGCAUGGUUCAGACAUAAAAGGUGGCUUCGGCUACCACUUACAGAUGGACCCGCGGCGCAUUAGCUAGUUGGUGAGGUAACGGCUCACCAAGGCGACGAUGCGUAGCCGACCUGAGAGGGUGAUCGGCCACACUGGGACUGAGACACGGCCCAGACUCCUACGGGAGGCAGCAGUAGGGAAUCUUCCGCAAUGGACGAAAGUCUGACGGAGCAACGCCGCGUGAGUGAUGAAGGUUUUCGGAUCGUAAAGCUCUGUUGUUAGGGAAGAACAAGUGCCGUUCAAAUAGGGCGGCACCUUGACGGUACCUAACCAGAAAGCCACGGCUAACUACGUGCCAGCAGCCGCGGUAAUACGUAGGUGGCAAGCGUUGUCCGGAAUUAUUGGGCGUAAAGGGCUCGCAGGCGGUUUCUUAAGUCUGAUGUGAAAGCCCCCGGCUCAACCGGGGAGGGUCAUUGGAAACUGGGGAACUUGAGUGCAGAAGAGGAGAGUGGAAUUCCACGUGUAGCGGUGAAAUGCGUAGAGAUGUGGAGGAACACCAGUGGCGAAGGCGACUCUCUGGUCUGUAACUGACGCUGA